rnacentral:rRNA from 1 species
AGCAGCCGCGGUAAUUCCAGCUCCAAUAGCGUAUAUUAAAGUUGUUGCAGUUAAAAAGCUCGUAGUUGAAUUUCGGGAUUAGUACGCUGGUCGUGCCUUCGGUAUGUACUGGUGUUACUGAUUCCUACCUUCUGACGAACCGUCAUGUCAUUCAUUUGGUGUGGCAGGGAAUCAGGACUGUUACUUUGAAAAAUUAGAGUGUUUAAAGCAGGCUCGCGCUUGAAUACAUUAGCAUGGAAUAAUGAAAUAGGACGUUCGAUCCUAUUUUGUUGGUUUCUAGGAUUGACGUAAUGAUUAAUAGGGAUAGUUGGGGGCAUUAGUAUUCAAUUGUCAGAGGUGAAAUUCUUGGAUUUAUUGAAGACUAACUACUGCGAAAGCAUUUGCCAAGGAUGUUUUCAUUAAUCAAGAACGAAAGUUAGGGGAUCGAAGACGAUCAGAUACCGUCGUAGU